AGCGAACGCUGGCGGCAGGCUUAACACAUGCAAGUAGAGCGGGCGUAGCAAUACGUCAGCGGCAGACGGGUGAGUAACGCGUGGGAACGUACCUUUUGGUUCGGAAUAACACAGGGAAACUUGUGCUAAUAACGGAUAAGCCCUUACGGGGAAAGAUUUAUCGCGGAAAGAUCGGCCCGCGUCUGAUUAGCUAGUUGGUAGGGUAAUGGCCUACCAAGGCGACGAUCAGUAGCUGGUCGGAGAGGAUGAUCAGCCACAUUGGGGCUGAGGCACAGCCCAAACUCCUACGGGAGGCAGCAGUGGGGAAUAUUGGACAAUGGGGGCAACCCUGAUCCAGCCAUGCCGCGUGAGUGAUGAAUGCCCUAGGGUUGUAAAGCUCUUUUGUGCGGGAAGAUAAUGACGGUACCGCAAGAAUAAGCCCCGGCUAACUUCGUGCCAGCCGCCGCGGUAA
rnacentral:rRNA from 1 species